UACAGAGGUCUCAAGCGUUGUUCGGAUUCAUUGGGCGUAAAGGGUGCGUAGGUGGCGGGGUAAGUCAGGUGUGAAAUCUCGGAGCUCAACUCCGAAACUGCACUUGAUACUGCCUUGCUGGAGUACUGGAGAGGAGAUUGGAAUUUACGGUGUAGCAGUGAAAUGCGUAGAUAUCGUAAGGAAGACCAGUGGCGAAGGCGAGUUCCUGGACAGUGACUGACGCUGAGGCACGAAGGCCAGGGGAGCAAACGGG
rnacentral:rRNA from 1 species